UAAACGGCUCCUGAGGUCUGAAAAAACGACAGCAGGAUUCAGCGUUCCUCUGACAACCACUCAGAAAAUAGAAUGUGAAGAAGAAGGAGGAAGGGAAGAUGCGGGGCCAGCCAUCAGAAUGCUCCCUGUGGCUCCAUGGAUGCCUAGAAAUGCUGGUCACUUAAAGGGCACAGGUUACAGAAUGUCAGAUGACUGAAGUAAAAGAGGAAGUAACAUUGCUCAGAGAUGGAGAUUUGUGGCUUCUCUCUUUGGAAAGAUGAGAAAGGGACUAGAAAAUCCUCCGGAUGGGCCUUCAAAGGUCACUGAGCAGGACUCCCAAAGGCCACCACUGCUGUCCAGCACCCCUCUCAAUGCAGCUACUCCCAGUGGGUUGUGGAACCACUCUCUCCUGUGUCUUCAAGUAUAGAGGUGGAAACAGCUGUCUGCUGUUGCUUGCACCAAGAUGUAGGCUCCAUUUCCACAGAUGCCUCAUGAUCAGGGAUAGCUGCUCAAGUUCUCCCUAUUACAUCACAUGUCCUCCAUCAGUUUUCAACUGCAGAGAACUGAAUCUGCUCCAGCUACUUGACACACAAAUGGCUCUAUUCCUGUACUAAAGAGCUUCUGGAAUCCUAGACAAGGCAGAAACACAAACUCUGUGUUAAUAUUUUGGGACUAACACCCAAAGUCACCUGAAAGAGUUGGGCCACCAAGGUAGCUACUGUCCCUUCUUGUCCCUUCUAUGACCAAGAAGCUCCUUUUCUGAUUGGAAUGCUGUCACUCCACUUGCUGGGUCCAGAACCUCAGAGCUCCUGCACAAUGAGGGAGCUGCAGUCCCAGGAAGCCACACAAUCCCAAAGCUGUAAUGAUUGGGAAUCUCAUACCACAGAUGCUGUCUUCAGAACCAAGCUGUUUCUGCUUCGGUCUGCACCCAUGACUUCAGUGACCAGAAACGAAGACCUCAGCAAAUGCUUCUUCCCAGCAUAACUGAAUGCUUGCCCAGUGGGGCUUGCCAGAAGGAACAACAGAAGCAACACCUCUCCAUUUUGCUUUACAUCUACCUUCCAAAUCAUCACUUGUGUACCUGAGGGGUCGAGCAUUCACCGCAUACAAAAGCAUAGCUGCAAGAAAUUGGGGGAAAGUCAUUUUUAGCUUUUCAGUCUUUGAAACAUAAGAAGACACUCUAGAAGGGAGUUGCAAUAGACAGUAAGUGUUAAUUCACAAUUCCGCCAAAAUAUUCCAGGAAGAGGGAAGGAGAAAGAAAGGGGAAGGAUAAAAGGACAUCCUCCUUCACUAGCUCAGUGAUCUUUAAGAAACUUUUCAUGAAGCCCCACUAGAUGAUUUUCAUUUGCCCUUCAUUACCUACUCUUAACUGCAGGGGAGACUGGGAAAUGCAGAACUUUAGCUAUAUGUGUUGCCUCCCAGAAUAAAAUGGGGUUUUGUUAGAAAGAAGUAAAUAAACAAGAUAAUGAAUA